AUGAUCAUAUCCCUCAUUAAUCUCCAUCAUAGCGCCACUGCGGCUAUCCCUUCUCAUACACCACCAGUGCGUUCGUUAUCCUCGUCGAUCUCCGUCUCAACUACCGGCGACCGGACCUCAACCUUCGCCAAAACGCUGUCCUCUCCCUUUCUUCAAUCGGAUUCUGCCGAUCCAAACCCUUCUGGCGGUUCUCGUCUCCAAACAUCGUCGAGCGACACACGGUUCAAAAAUGCAACACAAAUUGAAUGA